GGCGGCAGGCUUAACACAUGCAAGUCGAGCGGGCGUAGCAAUACGUCAGCGGCAGACGGGUGAGUAACGCGUGGGAACAUACCUUUUGGUUCGGAACAACACAGGGAAACUUGUGCUAAUACCGGAUAAGCCCUUACGGGGAAAGAUUUAUCGCCGAAAGAUUGGCCCGCGUCUGAUUAGCUAGUUGGUGAGGUAACGGCUCACCAAGGCGACGAUCAGUAGCUGGUCUGAGAGGAUGAUCAGCCACAUUGGGACUGAGACACGGCCCAAACUCCUACGGGAGGCAGCAGUGGGGAAUAUUGGACAAUGGGCGCAAGCCUGAUCCAGCCAUGCCGCGUGAGUGAUGAAGGCCCUAGGGUUGUAAAGCUCUUUUGUGCGGGAAGAUAAUGACGGUACCGCAAGAAUAAGCCCCGGCUAACUUCGUGCCAGCAGCCGCGGUAAUACGAAGGGGGCUAGCGUUGCUCGGAAUCACUGGGCGUAAAGGGUGCGUAGGCGGGUCUUUAAGUCAGGGGUGAAAUCCUGGAGCUCAACUCCAGAACUGCCUUUGAUACUGAAGAUCUUGA
rnacentral:rRNA from 1 species